rnacentral:rRNA from 1 species
UACAGAGGUCCCAAGCGUUGUUCGGAUUUACUGGGCGUAAAGGGCGCGUAGGCGGCCAGCACAAGUCAGUUGUGAAAUCUCCGAGCUUAACUCGGAAAGGUCAACUGAUACUGUGCGGCUAGAGUGCGGAAGGGGCAACUGGAAUUCUUGGUGUAGCGGUGAAAUGCGUAGAUAUCAAGAGGAACACCUGCGGCGAAGGCGGGUUGCUGGGCCGACACUGACGCUGAGGCGCGAAAGCCAGGGGAGCGAACGGG